GGUGGUUGGUGGAAGAAUCAGAUAUCUGCAAACUUCCAUAUUUACAGGCAGCGGUGAAGAAUCACUCAGAUUGCACCCAUCAGCUCCACUGAUAACAAGAGAAUGCCGCACCAAAAGUUGUAGAAUCAAAGAGUUUGAUAUACCUGAGAAAACUACAGUAGCUUUAAAUUUGUACGCCAUAAUGAGAGAUCGUGAUGAAUGGGACAGACCAGAUGAGUUCUUGCCAGAAAGGUUCUUGGAUUUUUCAAUUAAAAAAAAAAAAAAACAAUUACAUAAACCAAUAUGAUCAAAGUAUUGGAAGUGAUGAUUAUAAUAAGGGAUCAAAAGUUCUCGAUUUCGUCCCACUUGGUGGCGGUAGACGUGUGUGUCCGGGAUCGGCAUUAGCGCUUUCCAUGAUUAAUAUUGCAGUAGCAAGUUUGGUUCAGUGUUUUGGUUGGCAUCAAGUUGGUGAAGUUAAGAUGGAAGAAGGGUCAGGGAUGAAACUAGCCAUGGUUCAUCCACUGGUGUGCAUUCCUGUUCUUCAUUUCAAUCCUUUUUUAGUCUUGAAAAUGAAAGAGACAAAAUGUGAUCUCAUGGGAUUUUAGAAUCUAAACAGUCUUUAAAUUAAAUCCUAUUUUAAGUCUGUUUGUAAAAAUUUUCUCUACUAUUGUAUGGUCAAUGUGUCAAUAGUCAAUAAACUUAUCAAAUAAACUCUUACUACAGUUCUUCAAUGUAAAACUAAAAAGAGAUUAUGGCCUAUCUUAAAGAAAAGUUAAUUACAGUUCUAGUCGAUUAAUUUUGAUCUCAUUGCAAUUUUAUUUUCUAACUUAAUCCUUAUUAUAUUCUCUAAAUCGUGAGUUUGAAUUGGAGUAUACUCUUAUUUAUGUGUUUAUAUAGAAAUUAUGUGUGAUAUUAUGACUAAUGUUUGUAUAUUACUUGGGAAUGAGAAUUUUAACUCAAAAAAUAAUAAUAAUUGCUAUUCUAUUCAAGUGGGUUUGUAUUAUAUUGGUUUUUUUUAACUCAGGCCAUGACCCAACCCAUCAAAAUUUAAAACAAACCCAAAACUUCAAACCCAUAGAAAUUAGCUCACCCGGUCCGGUCCGGUCCGGCCCAAGCCCAGUCACUACUCAAGAAAACGACGUCGUUUGGGAGACCCGUCUUCUUCUUCUUCUUCUUCUUCUUCUUCCUCCUCCGUCCAGAGACAGAGAGGGGCUACGUUUUGAAAAGGAAAAAAAAAAAAAAGGAGGAACGAAAAACAGAGGAGCAGGUGAACUGGGCAGGUGAAUGCAUGAAGCGUGGACGAAACAUGAUGAAGGAAUGAAUUAUGUAACAAAGAUGGAGCCAUAAAUCUAGUGAUUUUCAAGCAGGAAAGGAGAAAUAGAAGGGGGAAAAAAAAGAGAAGAAAUCAGAGGAGACACGUCUGAGCUAGAGGGAAACAGUGAGGAGAGGCGCAGGAAGAGUUCUUGCGCAAUGGUGCUGAGAGAGUAGGACAAGCAUCGUGAAGAAAGGAGAAGCGUCGAUCCACAAAGGAUUUGGUGGAUGAGCUCGCUAAUAAAACCUACUCAAUACUGCAAGUACCUAAAUUCAAACACUUCAACCAGCGUCCCAAAGAUCAAAUCGGCAAUCCGAAACACUAAGCUGCAAAAUAUCAAUGAUUCUGAUUCAUGCUUGUAAAGAACAGAUUAAUAGCAUAGUUGUAAAAUCUGAAGCUCACCUGGAAAUUUCAACGAACAUCUUUUGAGCGUGCAAGUAAUCCUUAAACCAACUCGACCACCAUUAUACCAUCAAAGCAUGAAGCUUCUGUGGGAGACGAAUAUACCU
rnacentral:lncRNA from 1 species